UGCCUGGGGGCACGAUGUUGAAGUGAUGAGGACUGAAGCACAACGGCACCUCUGCUCUUAUUCCUUUUGAAGAACUCGCUUUUUCCUUUUCCUCUGUCCCCAACAAGCUGUCACUGAUAGUUGUGGUAUCACAUCCCCCAACUGAGAUGAUGGGAUUGAGACUCAAACCCAACAGUUUUCAAGAGAGGUCACUGAAGUUGAGAGGUGAACUAGUCACAGGUCAGGCUGAAUCCAGGACUGUCUCCAGUGGCAUGUUUGCCUUAAGCCCCUCUUGAAGCAGAUUAACUUUUCCAAACGAUGCUAUUUUUACGUUACUUUCAAAGGCCAGAUAUAUUUACCAAUAUGACAUCACAUGUGAUAGGAACUGAAAGGGGAUGGUGAUAAUCAGUGAGAGACUGGGGUAUAAUUGUUGAUUCAGAAAUGUUUAAAUUCUGGGUCAACACUAGAAUCCCAUGCGCUGCAUUGCUCUCAUCUCCGCAUUCUUCACUCCCCAUGUUCAGUGCUAGCCUUAUGCAGACACCUCAUGCUGUCAUCUUUCAGACAUUCAGUUGAAACCCAAGGGAGGCUUAUCUUUAAGGAAUGCGCUGUUUCCCCUGCAAUAGUGACAGCUUUACAGUUCACAUCUCAGCAUUCAGAGAGAAUUUGUGACCCUUAUUCAGGCUACUGUACAGAGUCAAAGUUUCCACCAAAGGUCUUUUCCUUUUGUUGUAUCUGAUGCAUAUCCAUUUCUUUGAGGAAAGCUGUCUUUUUCUUGCUUUGCCCAUAUCAGCUAUUACCAUUUAUGGAGUAGCUGCGAUACCAAACUUGGGCUCACAGCAUGUAAAAGAAUCAAUAUGUUGAUAUUAAAAAAAAAACAACCGUCAAAAAUAUUUUAGGUUAGUUUG